AAUGAAUUUACAAUAAAAAUGCCUUUCAAUCGGUAUGUUUGGCAUUGAAAGGCUAAUGUGAAAAGCAAAAGCUGCACUUUCCUUUUGAAAUUCCCAAAAAAAAAAAAAAAAAAAAAAAAAAAUGCAAAUAGAGGAAGGACGUUCCAUCCCUCGCUAGCAGUAGCAGAGUAGUAGUAUUAGAUUUAGAGCAGAAACAAAAGAGAGCAAGGAAGGACGUUCCACAUUCAAGCUAUUAUGCGCUGGAGUUGGUUCAUGCCAUUUCAUCAUUUCUUUUUUAAAAGAACAGAGGAAAGAGAGGAAACAGAGAGAGCGUUUUAUGAGAAUGGAAGCAAGUUACUUGAGAAGCUGAUUGCCUCUUGCAAUGCCAAGCCUAUUCCCAUCCGUACCUUCUCCGCUCAACAGCUCCGCCAAGCGACCAACAACUUUUCUUCUGAAAAGCUGGUAUUGGGGUUCUCUAUUUGGUACAAGGUUUCUCUUGAAGGACGAAUUUUUCUCAUUAAGGCUUCUUUUGUUCGCAAUACCAAGCUUAUUCCCAUCCAUACCAUCUCCCUUCAACAACUCCGCCAAGCAACCAACAAUUAUCCUGCUCAACAUCUGGAAAUUUAUUGGUACAAAGGUUCUCUUGAAGGACGAAUUGUUCUCAUUAAGCGUUUAGAUAAUUUGGCCUAUAUAGCCAUCAAUGAUUUAGUGAUUUCUGCACAAUUGAGUGGUCACAGCAAUGUAUUAAAGCCCAUAGGUUGUUGUCUCCACACUCGAAUCCCCAUUUUGGUGUUUGAAUUUGCCGCCAAUGGUUUCCUUUCUGAUCGAAUUUAUGUCUCCCGUGUUACUGAACUACAACAUGAGCCGAUGGAGUGGGAGAGAAGGUUAAAGAUUGCAAGGCAGAUUGCUCAUGCUCUUUCUUAUCUCCAUACUGCCUUCCCUAGACCUGUCAUCUACAUGGGUAUGGAUCUGCACAGUAUCUUAUUAGAUGAACAUGAUGUUCCCAAAUUGUCCCACUUUCAUUUUUCUGUGUCAAUUCCCGAAGGUGAAGCUGACGUGGACGCUCCUUUUCUUUCAGCGUUCAAAUCCCCCGAGUUUAAAACAGCAGGCAAGGUAACUGAAAAAGCUGAUGUAUAUGAUUUUGGUCUGAUUCUUCUAGAACUUUUAACUGGAGAGGAUUCUUGGCAAAUAUCUAGAUUGACAAUUGAUAAAGAUUCUAGUUUAGUAGCAUACAUACAUAACCGUGCUCAAGGUAGUUGCAUAAACGAGAUUGUGGAUCCUGCAAUCUUGGCUGAAGGAGGUGCUAGUUUACAGUACCAAUUACAGGCUGUGGCAGACCUUGCCUUGACAUGUACAGAAGAAGAUCCACAAAGAAGGCCAACUAUGGUUGAUGUCACCAAACAACUCAGGCGGAUUGAAAGGUUCACAAAAAUGGGUGAAGAGCUUGGGGGAAAUUUGCAGAAUUUAAAGCUUCUUGAGAGUUUUGAAGAGCAUGCUUCUGCAUCAUUUAAAAGGAAUGCUUCCAGUGAUGAAAUCCAAGCAGUGAACGAAGCCUCUGAAAGGCCUCUUGAAGUUUAAUUGUGAUGCAACUGAAUGAUGACAGAGCUUGUAUGGCAGUUUUAACCUGUGAUUGGGAAGUUAUCAUUAUGGCAAACCCUUAAGGCAUGCCAACAGGUUGAUUUCAAGUCUUCCUAGUUCACAAUGACUCAAAAUUUAAGAGAUUAAAAGGAAGAGAUUAGAGAUUUGAAGGCAAGAGAUUAAAGAUUUGAAGGCACAGCCAAGGAAGAUAAGUCGUGUUCAUUGUUAAUAUUCUUCUACAUUGAUGCUCUAAGAGUCUUAUUCAUAGUAAAAUGAACUAACCACCCAAAUUUGUCUGGCAAACUUAUUUCCUCAUGACAUUACCAUAGACAAUAAUAACUGGUACAUUG